AUGGUGAAGAACAUCAAGCAGCUUUGGAGGAAUGGCUCGUCUGAUCGCAAGAAGAAGUUGGAUUCGUCAAACAUUUACCAUUUCCGUUUGCACCACGCCGUUGUGCCGCGGCAGGAAAACCUGGUUCAAACCCUGUACAGGUGGAUUACUUGUGGGGUUUUUGACAUUAAUAUUCGUCAGGUGCUAGGUUAUUCUGGAGGUAUUGCAUUUCUUUUUUGUUUGCUUUUUGUUGGUUUGCAUUUUUUUUGUGGUCGUCCUAUUUUAUUCUCACCACAAGGCCCAUUUCUAUAUUUUUGUCCACGCGCCCAAGUAUCUUCCUCGUGUGCCCUUCUUUUUUUGGUUUUUGUGUUGCAGAUCUUGGGCUGGACGAGCCUGAAUUUAGUUUGUUCGAGAGCCACUGUGAGACGCCAGAAAUUCAGGUAA
rnacentral:rRNA from 1 species